rnacentral:rRNA from 1 species
GAUGAACGCUGGCGGCGUGCUUAACACAUGCAAGUCGAACGGAAAGGCUCCUGCUUGCAGGGGUACUCGAGUGGCGAACGGGUGAGUAACACGUGGGUGAUCUGCCCUGCACUUCGGGAUAAGCCUGGGAAACUGGGUCUAAUACCGGAUAGGACGAUGUUUUGGAUGCCAUUGUGGAAAGUUUUUUCGGUGUGGGAUGAGCUCGCGGCCUAUCAGCUUGUUGGUGGGGUAAUGGCCUACCAAGGCGUCGACGGGUAGCCGGCCUGAGAGGGUGUACGGCCACAUUGGGACUGAGAUACGGCCCAGACUCCUACGGGAGGCAGCAGUGGGGAAUAUUGCACAAUGGGCGCAAGCCUGAUGCAGCGACGCCGCGUGGGGGAUGACGGCCUUCGGGUUGUAAACUGCUUUCGCUAGGGACGAAGCGCAAGUGACGGUACCUGGAGAAGAAGCACCGGCUAACUACGUG